AGAGUUUGAUCCUGGCUCAGGAUGAACGCUAGCGGGAGGCUUAACACAUGCAAGUCGAGGGGUAACAUGAUGUAGCAAUACACUGAUGACGACCGGAGUACGGGUGAGUAACGCGUAUGCAACCUACCCUGUACUGGGGGAUAGCCCGGAGAAAUUCGGAUUAAUACCCCAUAAAGAUAUUGAGAGGCAUCUUUUGAUAUUUAAAGUUUCGACGGUACGGGAUGGGCAUGCGUAACAUUAGCUAGUUGGUAGGGUAACGGCCUACCAAGGCGACGAUGUUUAGGGGUCCUGAGAGGGUGAUCCCCCACACUGGUACUGAGACACGGACCAGACUCCUACGGGAGGCAGCAGUGAGGAAUAUUGGUCAAUGGGCGCAAGCCUGAACCAGCCAUCCCGCGUGCAGGAAGACGGCGCUAUGCGUUGUAAACUGCUUUUCCAGGGGAAGAAAAACCUCGACGUGUCGGGGCUUGCCGGUACCCUGGGAAUAAGCAUCGGCUAACUCCGUGCCAGCAGCCGCGGUAAUACGGAGGAUGCGAGCGUUAUCCGGAUUUAUUGGGUUUAAAGGGUGCGUAGGCGGAUUAAUAAGUCAGUGGUGAAAACCUGCAGCUUAACUGUAGAAUUGCCAUUGAUACUGUUAGUCUUGAGUACGGUCAAGGUAGGCGGAAUGUGUAAUGUAGCGGUGAAAUGCUUAGAUAUUACACAGAACACCGAUUGCGAAGGCAGCUUACUGGGCCAUUACUGACGCUGAUGCACGAAAGCGUGGGGAGCGAACAGGAUUAGAUACCCUGGUAGUCC
rnacentral:rRNA from 1 species